UCCUUUUAUCCCUUUUCUUGUGGUGUAUUUCUAAUGAUUUUUCAGACUUUAUAUAAUAUAUAUAUAUAAUAAUAUUAAUCUCAUAAAUGAUCCUACAAGAAAACACCGCACGAAUUAGAGGUACAAACGCACAAUAUCUAUCACGAUGAAUCAAAAAUAAGAGCUUAGCCUAGGCUGAUUUCCAUGAUCUUUCACUUGAAGUUUCA
rnacentral:lncRNA from 1 species